AUUUAACUUGGUAAUGGACAGGUUACUUAGAACCUUACCCAGCGAAAUUGGUGCCAAAGUCGGAAAUGCCAUUACUAACGCGGCCGCGUUUGCAGAUGAUUUGGUACUAUUUGCGGAAACUCGGAUGGGGCUUCAAGUAUUGUUGGACAAGACGUUGGAUUUUCUAUCUAUCGUCGGCCUCAAACUUAAUGCCGACAAAUGUUUUACCGUUGGCAUUAAGGGCCAGCCGAAACAGAAGUGUACCGUGUUAGAGGCACAGAGCUUCUACGUAGGCUCGAGUGAGAUUCCAUCACUGAAGCGCACGGACGAGUGGAAGUACUUAGGCAUCAACUUCACUGCAACCGGGAGGGUUCGAUGCAAUCCGGCCGAGGACAUUGGUCCAAAGCUACAAAGAUUGACAAAGGCCCCCCUCAAACCACAACAGAGGUUGUUCGCCCUUCGGACUGUCCUUAUCCCACAGCUCUACCACAAGUUAGCCCUUGGGAGUGUGGCGAUAGGCGUCCUAAGAAAAACUGAUAAACUUAUAAGAUAUUAUGUGCGAAGAUGGCUAAAUCUUCCGCUGGAUGUGCCGAUAGCAUUUGUUCAUGCACCCCCAAAAAGUGGAGGUCUCGGAAUUCCAUCACUAAGAUGGGUAGCUCCAAUGUUAAGGCUAAGACGCUUGAGUAACAUUAAAUGGCCUCACCUCACGCAAAACGAGGUAGCCAGCUCUUUCCUCGAAGCCGAAAAACAACGGGCCCGAGAUAGAUUAUUAGCUGAACAAAAUGAACUGUUAUCGCGUCCGGCAAUAGAAAAAUAUUGGGCGAACAAGUUGUACCUCUCAGUUGAUGGUAGCGGACUCCGUGAAGCGGGCCAUUAUGGCCCGCAACACGGGUGGGUUAGUCAACCCACGCGUUUAUUAACAGGAAAGGAAUAUAUAGACGGUAUUCGUCUGCGGAUAAAUGCCCUACCCACAAAGUCUCGUACUACAAGGGGAAGGCACGAAUUGGAACGACAGUGUCGUGCAGGAUGUGAUGCUCCCGAAACAACAAACCACAUAAUGCAAAAAUGCUACCGCUCGCAUGGGAGGCGGGUAGCUAGACACAACUGCGUAGUAAAUCGAAUCAAGCGGGGACUUGAGGAGAGAGGCUGCGUGGUCAUUGUUGAACCAAGUCUGCAGUGCGAAUCCGGCCUUAAUAAACCAGACCUGGUGGCACUACGACAAAAUCACAUUGAUGUGAUCGACAUACAAAUUGUGACAGACGGACACUCUAUGGAUGAUGCGCACCAGCGCAAAAUCAAUAGAUACGACAGACCGGACAUACGAACUGAAUUGCGUCGCAGAUUCGAAGCCGCAGGUGACAUUGAAUUCCAUUCUGCCACCCUGAACUGGAGGGGGAUCUGGAGUGGUCAAUCCGUUAAAAGAUUGAUAGCAAAGGGUCUCCUCAGCAAAUAUGAUAGUCAUAUCAUUAGCGUCCAGGUUAUGAGAGGCAGUCUCGGUUGUUUUAAACAGUUCAUGUACCUGAGCGGGUUUUCCCGAGAUUGGACUUAGCUAAAUCGUUUGGUUCAAAACAUUUGCUUGCUGUCUUGGCAUAACAUCAAUAAAGGCAUAAACAUCGCAAAAUAAUGGUUAUAAUUAAAUGGCUAUGAGGAUGGUUUUAGUACGUAGGCGUUGCGGAACUUCGGUUCAUAUAGAGCAAUGAAUCGUGCAUGCUAGGAAAACUGACCACACACAGUGUUGGCAGACCUAGUAUCUUUCGAAGAUUUCCAUACCUCCGCGAUCAAAAAAAAAAAAAAAAAUAGCCAAAUGCCUCGUCAUCUAAUUAGUGACGCGCAUGAAUGGAUUAACGAGAUUCCUACUGUCCCUAUCUACUAUCUAGCGAAACCACAGCCAAGGGAACGGGCUUGGAAUAAUUAGCGGGGAAAGAAGACCCUUUUGAGCUUGACUCUAAUCUGGCAGUGUAAGGAGACAUAAGAGGUGUAGAAUAAGUGGGAGAUAUUAGACCUCGGUUUGGUAUCGUCAAUGAAAUACCACUACUCUUAUUGUUUCCUUACUUACUUGAUUAAAUGGAACGUGUAUCAUUUCCUAGCCAUUAUACGGAUAUAUUUAUUAUAUCUUAUGGUAUUGGGUUUUGAUGCAAGCUUCUUGAUCAAAGUAUCACGAGUUUGUUAUAUAAUCGCAAACAAAUUCUUUAAUAAAACGAUGCAUUUAUGUAUUUUUGAUUUGAAAAUUUGGUAUAACUCCAAUUACUCAGGUAUGAUCCAAUUCAAGGACAUUGCCAGGUAGGGAGUUUGACUGGGGCGGUACAUCUCUCAAAUAAUAACGGAGGUGUCCCAAGGCCAGCUCAGUGCGGACAGAAACCACACAUAGAGCAAAAGGGCAAAUGCUGACUUGAUCUCGGUGUUCAGUACACACAGGGACAGCAAAAGCUCGGCCUAUCGAUCCUUUUGGUUUAAAGAGUUUUUAACAAGAGGUGUCAGAAAAGUUACCAUAGGGAUAACUGGCUUGUGGCGGCCAAGCGUUCAUAGCGACGUCGCUUUUUGAUCCUUCGAUGUCGGCUCUUCCUAUCAUUGUGAAGCAAAAUUCACCAAGCGUUGGAUUGUUCACCCAUGCAAGGGAACGUGAGCUGGGUUUAGACCGUCGUGAGACAGGUUAGUUUUACCCUACUAAUGACAAAACGUUGUUGCGACAGCAUUCCUGCGUAGUACGAGAGGAACCGCAGGUACGGACCAAUGGCACAAUACUUGUUCGAGCGAACAGUGGUAUGACGCUACGUCCGUUGGAUUAUGCCUGAACGCCUCUAAGGUCGUAUCCGUGCUGGACUGCAAUGAUAAAUAAGGGGCAAUUUGCAUUGUAUGGCUUCUAAACCAUUUAAAGUUUAUAAUUUACUUUAUAAACGACAAUGGAUGUGAUGCCAAUGUAAUUUGUAACAUAGUAAAUUGGGAGGAUCUUCGAUCACCUGAUGCCGCGCUAGUUACAUAUAAAAGCAUUAUUU
rnacentral:rRNA from 1 species